ensembl:snoRNA
AAUCCCAUUUUAGUGCCUUUCAUUCGCACCACCAUGAAUGUUCGGCUAUGCUAAUGGGAUAGAAAAGACACUGUCAUGGUCUGAAGGUGUGGCUAGCUGACUGUGCACCCCACUGAAUAAAAUGACAGAAUAUUGCAAU